rnacentral:misc_RNA from 1 species
GAUGAAGAACGCAGCGAAAUGCGAUACGUAAUGUGAAUUGCAAAUUCAGUGAAUCAUCGAGUCUUUGAACGCACAUUGCGCCCCCUGGUAUUCCGGGGGGCAUGCCUGUCCGAGCGUCAUUGCUGCCCUCAAGCACGGCUUGUGUGUUGGGCCCCGUCCUCCGAUCCCGGGGGACGGGCCCGAAAGGCAGCGGCGGCACCGCGUCCGGUCCUCGAGCGUAUGGGGCUUUGUCACCCGCUCUGUAGGCCCGGCCGGCGCUUGCCGAUCAACCCAAAUUUUUUAUCCAGGUUGACCUCGGAUCAGGUAGGGAUACCCGCUGAACUUAAGCAUAUCAAUAAGCGGGAGGA